AAGGUAAUGUGUUAUUCAUUUUGAUUUUGGUUUGUGUUUAUUUUUAUAAAAAAUUAGUAAGUUUUGGUUAUUAGUAUGUUAAAGAAUUUUGUUUGAGAGUUAUAGUUAAUAAGUACAGUAGUGGAAGUGUUGAAAUUUAGGAGAAGUAGUGUUGAAAUUUCGUACCUUUUGUAUCAGGGGUUAACUAUUUUAGCGUGCUAGUUAUGGGGUCCCGAAACAAGAAGAGCUAGGGUUUGUUACUUUUCUUCGUUGUAGAGAGGUUUGUAAAAUAUUCUUAGUGGUGAUAUGUCAGUCGAUUCUUGUAUAUCUGGUUCCUUAUUAAAUAAAUUUAAUUUUGCACUGAGUUUUAAUUUAAUUUGGUAGUGAGGGUAGGAGGAAUAAGCUUCUUAUCUUUUAUUUUAUUGAGCGUUUUGGUUGUGUUAUCCGUUUUAGGUGGGCUUAAGGUCAGCCAUCUUGAUAUAACGUUAAAGUAAUGUCGGUUGUUAUUUUUAUUUUUAAAAUGUUUGUUGUUAUCUAGUAAGGAAUUUUAUUUAUUGUCUAAAUGAAAGAUAAAAUGUUUAUAUAAGUAUGAUUAUAGUUUGUUUUUAUGUUUGAGUAAAAUUUAGUGUUUAAUAGCCGAGGGGUGCUAAGAAGGAAUUCGGCAAAUAUUAUCUCCGCCUGUUUAUCAAAAACAUGUCUGUGUGAAUUAGUUAUAAAGUCUAGCCUGCCCACUGAUUGUUUAAAGGGCCGCGGUAAUUUGACCGUGCGAAGGUAGCAUAGUCAGUAGUCUUUUAAUUGGAGGCUUGAAUGAAGGGUUGGACGAGGGAUAAUCUGUCUCCUUUGCAGUGUUUGAAUUUAACUUUUGAGUGAAAAGGCUCAAAUUAUUUAGUGGGACGAUAAGACCCUAUAAAACUUAAUAUGGGUGUGGCUUGAUUUGCGAUUAGUAGGUGAAAAGUAAUUUUGUUUGGCUCAUAUUUUGUUGGGGAGAUGUGGAUAUAAUGUGUAACUGUCUGUUGAAUUUAAUAGUUAUAAUUAGUGUAUGAUCCUUCAUUUGUGGAUUAGGAGAAUAAGUUACUUUAGGGAUAACAGCGUGAUUUUCUUUGAGAGUUCUUAUCGACAAGAGUAGUUGCGACCUCGAUGUUGAAUUAAAGUUUCAGUUAGGUGUAGCCGCUUAGCUAGUGGGUCUGUUCGACCUUUAAAAUUUUACAUGAUUUGAGUUCAAACCGGUGUGAGCCAGGUUGGUUUCUAUCUUUUAUUGAUCGGGAAGGGGCUUUAGUACGAAAGGAUUGGGCUCUUGGGAUAGUUCUUAUUUUGAGAUAAACUUUAAAUGG
rnacentral:rRNA from 1 species